rnacentral:lncRNA from 12 species
CCUUAUUAACCACGCAGGCAGAGAACUGGCAGACCACCCCACUGCAGUCACUGUGGCUCAUGGAGCGGAUGAAGAAAUGUUUGACUACAACAGCAGCUGGAAGUUCAUCACAUCCUUUUGAAUUGCUCACUGUCUCCCAAAGCUGCCUCCUUGCUGCUGCUGAUCCAAAUCAGAACUGACCUGUCUGUGUGGCUGAUUUGCCCAACGACAAGGCAGUGGCCAUGAUGUCCAGUUUCACAAAUGCAUUCCUAGAAACAACAAUGUCCAGUCCUAGCAUCCCCAGUGUGAAAAGGAUUCCUGAAGAAGGCAGAUGAUAAUUUCAGC